AAACAAAAAAAAAUAAAUGUUUUUUUUUAAUUAUUGGGAUAUUGGUAAUAAUAGUAAAGAUCAAACAAAAACGCAAUAAAAGAGUAUAGCACCGGACAUGG
rnacentral:ribozyme from 1 species